UCUGCUUCAACUAUCUUUAAUGCAAGAUACAUAGUUAAAUUAGAGUGUUUCCUUUUCCUGAAGGAGGCACAUCUUUGGUAACCAAAACAAUGCCUCUGGGAUCUCCUCCAAAAUGGCAGCCAUUAUGUAACAAAUUCCAAAAGAGACAAAAAGCAGCUGGUAUCUUCUGAAGAGGUUACCUUAGAGAUUUCAUCGAAAUCCAGGGAUGCCUAGAAGCAGUUAGUUGCGAACGAGGACAAUUUAUUGUUCCAUGUAAAGCAAGAGAUUUUUUUUUCCCGGAGAACAUUUUUGUUAAUAAUUUUAUACACUUUGGGUUUCUGAGGGAUCUUCAGAGUGAAUAUUGCAGCAAAUCAAGUAGAGAUUUUCUUUUUAAUUGUGGCAAGAACACUUUACGAGGGAAUGAAACUGGUGAGCUGAGGCCCUGUGGUGGAACACAGACACUACACUCUGAACCCCGGAAGCAGGAUUCUUUCUUUUGAGAACUGUUAUUCAAAGCUACUUGAAAGUUAAUCUCUAAAACCAAAAACCACAAAACUACUCUUUCCAUGGAGCAACUCAGAUUUAAUUAAACAAACAACAUAUGGCUAAAAAUUAAUUUUGGCAUGUCUCAACGUGGACACCUGGAAUCAGCUAGCUGACUCAUUACUAAAAGAAAAGAUAACAGUUUCGAAAAGCUAAAAAUAAUAAUUGAAAGACCCACCUAUCUCAAAGUGAAUGUUAAGAAAAUACAUUUUUUAAGAAAGGAAGUGAUGAAUAUACCUAUAGCUAAUAUUAUGGGUGAACCUGACAAAUAGAAUACUGAGUAAAAGAAAAUAUAAAAAGUACAUCCUUUAGAGUUUUAUUUCUAUAAAGUUCAGAAACAGGUUAAAAGUAAUUAUGGCAUUAGAAGUUAGGCUCCUCUUGGUGGCAGCAAUUACUAGAAAUGAGCGUAAGUUAGGCUUCUAAAGUCCUCAAAACAUCCUCUACUUUCUUUUUAAGGCAGUUGCUGAAUAGCAGAAAUAUCUGUUCUUUUGAGGAUCUAUUAAGCUGUACACUUACAAUUUGUCAUUUUGUUUAGGGUUAUUAAAGUUUAUAGGAGGCCAUUGUUUUGGACCAGCCUCCUGCACUGGGCUCCAGCAGACCAGACCCAACCAGAAUGAAGUCGUUUGUGCUAAUGCCAUGUAAUCAAACUUAACUUUGAAAUGAGCCAGUUUUCAAAAAACCAGGAGAUUCCAGUCAACCCUGGUCAGCAUAAUAAGGACGUUUCCUCUGUUUUAAUCCUACAAGGAAAGUAACUUUGAAACCAACAAUCUGCUUUUUGUUCUGUUUCUACUUGCUUCAGCCCUUUUUUCUCUAUAAGGUCAACCUUCUCUGCUGAGCUCAUUGGAACACCCGUUCUAUUUUAUAGAAUGUGAUAUUGACAAAUUCUAGAAUUUCAAAUAAAGGCCA
rnacentral:lncRNA from 1 species